AGAAACUUCCUCCGCCCGGCCUCUCCCUUGCCGCGAGAUCUCCCUCGCAGAGCUCCUCCGUGGCCAGCGGCCAUGGUGAGGCUCGACUCCAGCUCCGGUCCGGUACAGCAAUCGGCUGCCCCCUGGGCGCUGUUCUGGCCCAUGGCGACUGCGAACAGGAAUUUCCCUCCGCGUGUGCUCUCCCCUGCCAUGAGACCCGUUGGCAGAGCUCCUCUGCGGCCGGUGGCCAUGGUGAGGCUUGGGUCCUGCUCCGGUGUAGCGGCCGUCGACGAGGUGCUCCGGCUCCCCGACGAAGUUCCUCACCUGGAGGUCCCUGUGUGUUGCUUGAGUAUGGGUGGUCUGUAUCUUGGAGAGGAGUGGCUCUCAACGACGCAGUUGAUUCGCUGCUUUAUGUCCCGUGGGAUUUUUGAGCCUUGGUUGUUUCAUUGUCGCUGCGUGCCCGGCCGGAGGUCCCUGUGUGUUGCCGAGUUCGGCGGCGGCAAGCCAUGGUGCUAUGUCGUGGCGGUCGGGCCGCAUGGCGAACGUGUGAACAAUUUGUGUGUACUAUGGUUGAUAAUGCAGCGGCAGCGUGGACGGCCAAGUUCUGCGUGCCUAUGCCGGUCGUGCAUGCUGCCACCGAUGCGCUACAGUUGGAGAUCGCUCCGUUCCGGGCGCGGUAUUUGGUCUGGACCAUACCAACCCUGCACAGCUUCCCACGACCAGUGGAGAUGGAGCCGGGCCGAAAGGUUUCGCGGCGGCCAAUCCGUUGAGGAGUGGCGUCCCUUCCCUGGUGCCGUGCGGUCCGGUCUUGGCGACGCCAACUCCACGCAGCUCGCCGGAAUCGGCGGAGAUGGAGCGGGGGCGGGUACAAAAUAAAGAUAAAGUGGGGGAUCCAGGGGAGUUCGCGGCGGCCGACGAGAAGGAUGCACGAGCCUCGCGGGAGUGGGUGCGACGGAGGCAUCGGCGUUUGCGAGGCACGCCCUGCCGCGGGUGAUGUGGUCGCGGCGACCGUACCAGUUCGUGUCUGGAAGUAUAACUGUUGGUUGCCCGAGACUCAUUGCCAUCGUAGGUGCGCAACGCCUUGCCAUCCUGUGAGGCUGUGACCCCGGUAGCUGAGACCGUCAUCCUCAUGGCGCAGAAGUUCAACACGACUGUAAUGGUGGUGUGCCAGAGGUCUGGCUGUGCUGUCUUGCCUCACCGACAUGCUACUGCCGCUAUUUGCCGACGCCAGUGAGCAGCGGCAACACCAACAUAGAUGAUGUACAGCAGAUAUGCGACGAUUGCCACCAACGGGUAAGGUAAGGAAUUCCAUAAUCAGCAAAGUAUUGUUAGUUAUUACCACUGUCUGAAACUUUCCAUGGGAGGUUGCAUAUUUUACUCUGGUGCCCAUUCCCAGGUGUUCUAAUGUGUUCUUAACAUCUGCUGGCGCUAACUGAUUUUAUUUUGGACUUGAUUUGUAUUCUAGGACGAUGCACCUUCGAUAUGAAAUCAGUUCAUAUAUAUUUUGAUGAGGAGUUUCUAUCUUUGACGAGUUUAUUACAUUUAUCUGAAUCUGUUACAGCGGGCUUUGCACCGCAAAGUAGUUUAUUUAAUAGGCUCUUUUCAGAUUAAUUAUUGUAAAGAGUGGUCGGAUUCAGCAUGGAGUAGUAGGGUGGUUCUUCAGUGCUUUUGAUUGAUACCAUUGUUCUUUCGACCCAUUGUUGAUUUUCAGUUCCAGUCACGAAUUGAGUAGCCGGACUACUGAUAAUUGUGGUUGAUGUACGUAUAUGCAGAGUUCUGAAUUCAUGUAUUAAUUGUACAA